UGGGGAAUUUUGGACAAUGGGCGAAAGCCUGAUCCAGCAAUGCCGCGUGUGUGAAGAAGGCCUUCGGGUUGUAAAGCACUUUUGUCCGGAAAGAAAUCCUCUGGGUUAAUACCUCGGGGGAGUGACGGUACCGGAAGAAUAAGCACCGGCUAACUACGUGCCAGCAGCCGCGGUAAUACGUAGGGUGCAAGCGUUAAUCGGAAUUACUGGGCGUAAAGCGUGCGCAGGCGGUUUUGUAAGACGGAUGUGAAAUCCCCGGGCUUAACCUGGGAACUGCAUUCGUGACUGCAAGGCUAGAGUAUGGCAGAGGGGGGUAGAAUUCCACGUGUAGCAGUGAAAUGCGUAGAGAUGUGGAGGAAUACCGAUGGCGAAGGCAGCCCCCUGGGCCAAUACUGACGCUCAUGCACGAAAGCGUGGGGAGCAAACAGGAUUAGAUACCCUGGUAGUCCACGCCCUAAACGAUGUCAACUAGUUGUUGGGGAUUCAUUUCCUUAGUAACGUAGCUAACGCGUGAAGUUGACCGCCUGGGGAGUACGGUCGCAAGAUUAAAACUUAAAUGAAUUGACGGGGUCAUAGCUGUUUCCU
rnacentral:rRNA from 1 species